CUUAACCUCGGAAUUGCAGUCGAUACUGCUGUGACUCGAGUCCGGUAGAGGAGAAUGGAAUUCUCGGUGUAGCGGUGAAAUGCGCAGAUAUCGAGAGGAACACCAGUAGCGAAGGCGGUUCUCUGGGCCGGCACUGACGCUGAGGAGCGAAAGCGUGGGGAGCAAACAGGAUUAGAUACCCUGGUAGUCCACGCCGUAAACGUUGGAUACUAGGUGUGGCGGUUGUACCAACGACUGCCGUGCCGAAGCUAACGCAUUAAGUAUCCCGCCUGGGGAGUACGGCCGCAAGGCUAAAACUCAAAGGAAUUGACGGGUCCCCGCACAAGCGGCGGAGCAUGCGGCUUAAUUCGAUGCAACCCGAAGAACCUUACCUGGGUUUGACAUCACGGGAAAAACUGUAGGAAUACAGUGUCCGUAAGGGCCC
rnacentral:rRNA from 1 species